rnacentral:lncRNA from 1 species
ACAGCCGCGUACCCAAGAAGACACUGAGACCAUACAUAAAAUGUAGAAGGCAAGAUUUAAUAAAGUAGCAACAUGAAAGCACACAGACCAGAGCUCUGGGGUCGAAAUAAAGCAGCAACAUGAAAGCACACAGAGCUCUGGGGUCGAAACUCAUACACCUUUGCACAGGGUAGAGGAGUCUCGACCCCCAGCCAAAAUUUUUCACAGGCUUAUAUAGUAAAACUCAAAGGGGGAGAACUGGGCAGGGAAAGUACAAGUUUACAUCACUAGGGAGUUCUGCCAAGGGACAAGGGGUUCUGCCAAAGGAUUCUACGUAACUAAGGAGUCAUGUCCUAUUAAGGAAUCUACGUAACUAAGGAGUCAUGUCCUAUCAAGGAAUCUACGUAACUAAGGAGUCAUGUCCUAUCAUUUGGCAAUGUACCCGGUUCAUUUUGAGAAACCUAGCAUGGCUGUCUUCUGAGAGGCCCAACAAGCAGCUGACUGAGAAAAAGCAGAUACUUAAACACAACCAUUGAACUAAAUCAAAGAUCCCUGUGAUGGAAUUAAGGAAAGGCUGGAAGAAGCUGAAGAGGAUGGUGGUACUAUAGGAAGACCAGCUGUCUCACCUAACCUGGACCCGUGAAAUCUCUCAGACACUCUGCCACCAACCAGGAAGCAUAUACUAGCUGGUCUGAGGCCCCAAAAAGCUAUAUAGCAGAGGACUGCAUGAUCUUGCCUCAGUGGGAGAAGAAGAACCUAACCCUUGAGAGACUUGAGGUCCCAGGGAUUGGGGAGGCCUUGCAUUAGGGAGCCGUUCUCUUGAAGACAUGGGGAGAAGGAAUGAGAUGAGGAACUGUGGAAAG